GUCUUUUUAGUUUAAUUUAAUUAAAACGUUAAAUUGCAAAUUUAGAGAUUUUUUUGAUAAAAUUAAGAUU
rnacentral:tRNA from 1 species